GGGGCUGAGAAAUAAUCAGCAGGAUGCGCCCGGAGAAGACCUCGGGGUCGGCCGUCGGACGGGGGUUCGAUUCCCCCCAUCUCCACCA
rnacentral:tRNA from 1 species